GACCGAAUGGCGCAGUGGUUAGUGACCCUGACUACUGAGUCGAUGGUCCCGGGUUCGAUUCCCGGCUGGGACA
rnacentral:tRNA from 1 species